AGCAGCCGCGGUAAUUCCAGCUCCAAUAGCGUAUAUUAAAGUUGUUGCAGUUAAAAAGCUCGUAGUUGAAUUUUGGAUUCUGCCAGUUGGUCCAUCUUUUGAUGAGUACUGAUUGUGCGGGGUCUAUCCGCCUGGGGAGACGUAAUGUACUUUAUUGUAUGUUACGGGUAGCCAGGACCUUUACCUUGAAAAAAUUAGAGUGUUUAAAGCAGGCUUAUGCCGGAAUACAUUAGCAUGGAAUAAUAGAAUAGGACGAUGUUGUUUUAUUUUGUUGGUUUCUAGGACAACCGUAAUGAUUAAUAGGGAUGGUUGGGGGCAUUAGUAUUCAAUUGUCAGAGGUGAAAUUCUUGGAUUUAUUGAAGACUAACUACUGCGAAAGCAUUUGCCAAGGAUGUUUUCAUUAAUCAAGAACGAAAGUUAGGGGAUCGAAGACGAUCAGAUACCGUCGUA
rnacentral:rRNA from 1 species